GCGUUGUCCGGAAUUACUGGGCGUAAAGAGUUCGUAGGCGGUUUGUCGCGUCGUUUGUGAAAACCAGCAGCUCAACUGCUGGCUUGCAGGCGAUACGGGCAGACUUGAGUACUGCAGGGGAGACUGGAAUUCCUGGUGUAGCGGUGAAAUGCGCAGAUAUCAGGAGGAACACCGGUGGCGAAGGCGGGUCUCUGGGCAGUAACUGACGCUGAGGAACGAAAGCGUG
rnacentral:rRNA from 1 species